CCCUAAUUUUUCACUUAGUUCAUUCUGAGACCCUGGAGAGUCCAGUUUUUCUUACUGCAGUUUCUUCCUUUGUAUAGCAGAGAAGGCGCAGAGGAGCCGGCCAGGAGCAGUGGGGAGGCAGUGCACCUUGCAUUUGUUCGGUGUUGGGUUCGAGUCCCUGCUCUCCUGCUAGUUGUCUGUGUGACUUGGACAGGCAUCCGCUGGCUCUCUGAACCUCAGACCCCUGCUCUGUGAUGGGGAGGGCAUGGCUGAGCCCGUUUGCUAGAGCUGCUGGGGUUUAAUGAGGCUGUGGGUGUGGAGCUCCAAGCAGAGUACCUGGCACUUCCCCCAGCAACAGGACGGAGGCACCCUCGCCCUGUGUCUGUGAUCAUCGUUCAGCGCUCACCUCCAGACAAAAGCUUCUCCCACCCUCCUUGCUAGAAGGGGUGGUGACUUCCGUUCCUGAAUUUCCAGAGCCUGAACCAGACAGGUGCAGGAGACCAGCCUGAGCCAGAGUGGCUGGUGACACUGUGGCUAGACUGUGACAGCUGCUGGGAUGCCCUGGGGGACACGUUUAGGGUCCUGUUACCAAAAGCCUGAGGCUGCUGAGAAAGAAAAAGGCAGCCUCUGAUGGCUGGGAGCUGGCCUGCAUGCACUGCUGGACCUUGGUGUUCUCCUGCAGAACGUAAUUUCACAGCACCCUACAAGACAACUUUCUGACCAGCAUGGAGCAAGACAAAAACAUGACCGCAUGAAACACGGACAUUGUUGAAACCACCAAAAUGACCGGACAGCAUCCUCCCCUGUAUACUCUGAGUGUCUGCUGCUGCCUUACCAAGGGCAGUCUCAGCCUCUUUUUGUUCUUCCUGCCUUUAGGGUAAGAUUCGCAGUUCCCACUCAGAGUUAUCAUGCCUCCCAAGAGCAUCUGACUAGAGCAAAGCCCUGGGUCCUUGAACUCUCCUCACAUCGCCCAACUCAGCCUUUUCUUUUCUGUCCUUUCCGACACUUCCGGAUGCACCCUGCACUGUCUCCCUGUGCUGGGUGGCUUCCUGGCUGCAAUGAGUUC